AUUGAACGCUGGCGGCAUGCUUUACACAUGCAAGUCGAACGGCAGCGCGGGCUUCGGCCUGGCGGCGCGUGGCGAACGGGUGAGUAAUACAUCGGAACGUGCCCAGUAGUGGGGGAUAGCUCAGCGAAAGCCGGAUUAAUACCGCAUACGACCUGCGGGUGAAAGCGGGGGAUCUUCGGACCUCGCGCUAUUGGAGCGGCCGAUGGCAGAUUAGCUAGUUGGUGGGGUAAAGGCCUACCAAGGCGACGAUCUGUAGCUGGUCUGAGAGGACGACCAGCCACACUGGGACUGAGACACGGCCCAGACUCCUACGGGAGGCAGCAGUGGGGAAUUUUGGACAAUGGGCGAAAGCCUGAUCCAGCAAUGCCGCGUGUGUGAUGAAGGCCUUCGGGUUGUAAAGCACUUUUGGCGGGAACGAAAAGGACUGUGCCAAUACCACGGUUCGAUGACGGUACCCGCAGAAUAAGCACCGGCUAACUACGUG
rnacentral:rRNA from 1 species